rnacentral:rRNA from 1 species
GACGAACGCUGGCGGCGUGCUUAACACAUGCAAGUCGAACGGAAAGGCCCUGCUUUUGUGGGGUGCUCGAGUGGCGAACGGGUGAGUAACACGUGAGUAACCUGCCCUUGACUUUGGGAUAACUUCAGGAAACUGGGGCUAAUACCGGAUAGGAGCUCCUGCUGCAUGGUGGGGGUUGGAAAGUUUCGGCGGUUGGGGAUGGACUCGCGGCUUAUCAGCUUGUUGGUGGGGUAGUGGCUUACCAAGGCUUUGACGGGUAGCCGGCCUGAGAGGGUGACCGGCCACAUUGGGACUGGGAUACGGCCCAGACUCCUACGGGAGGCAGGAGUGGGGAAUAUUGCACAAAGGGCGGAAGCCUGAUGCAGCAACGCCGCGUGCGGGAGGACGGCCUUCGGGUUGUAAACCGCUUUCGCCUGUGACGAAGCGGGAGGGACGGUAAUGGGUAAAGAAACACCGGCUAACUACGU